rnacentral:lncRNA from 1 species
UAAAGCUGCAAACAAAUUCUGAGAAUAACUGAGAAUUUAAACUUUUUAAUCCGUGCUGCUACAUGAAGUGACCAGUUGACACAGGCUGUGUUGGAAAAGAUUCAUAAUGUACUUAUUCACUACUUGUGAAAUGAAAAGGAGUCCCUCACUUUCAUAUAGGGCCAUACUUUGUUCAUUCACAUGAAGCCUUGGAAGAACAGAGAAACUCAUUAUGUGGCUCUACUUACCAUAACACAUAGGCAGUAUGUAUUUUGAUUUGGUUUGGUUUUCCUCUGUAGACUUUCUCCUUUAUUUUUUUUUUAAGCACAGAGGUUCAUUUAUCCAUAUAUGAGUGAGUUGAAAUCCGCUACCAUAAACUCCUCCUACAUCACUUUAAAGCGCAUGGUGCUUGUUGACAGCUUAUCAAGGAAAGCAGGUGCAGGUUAAAUGCAAGAGGACAAGUUUCCUCCCCUGUUUGGAAAAAUAGAACUGAAUUAUACUGAAUUGCAUUGAGCCAACAGUCAGGGCAUGGAAUAUAAUUUGUGCCUGGCAAUCAGUAUGUUAUUUUGAAAGGAGACCAAACAAGAGCCAAAAGCUGAAAUUUUAUGGUAUAAGACUUGAGAAGAGGAAGCUACUUGGCAAUGAGUUCCCUGGAAAGACCCACCUGUUUUUAUCUGCAAGUAAUACAGUGUGCAGAAAAACAUUUAUAAAAAGUGACUUACUUGAGGUUUUCUGA